rnacentral:rRNA from 1 species
UGGGGAAUCUUAGAGAAUGGGGGAAACCCUGAUCUAGCCAUGCCGCGUGAGUGACGAAGGUCUUAGGAUCGUAAAGCUCUUUCGCCAGGGAAGAUAAUGACGGUACCUGGUAAAGAAAGCCCCGGGCUCAACCUGGGAAUUGCCUUUGAAACUGAUGAGCUAGAGUCCGGAAGAGGAUAGCGGAAUUCCCAGUGUAGAGGUGAAAUUCGUAGAUAUUGGGAAGAACACCAGUGGCGAAGGCGGCUAUCUGGUCCGGUACUGACGCUGAGGCGCGAAAGCGUGGGGAGCAAACAGGAUUAGAUACCCGUGUAGUCC